AUCAUCUACUUUCCCCCUCCUAUUAAAUGUUAACGCCUACCGAAAACUAUAAACACACAGAUACAAAUUCAUACACUCGCUCACAGGAUGUUAUAUAUAGUAUGCGCUCCAACCUAGCAGCAGUAAAAACAUAGCAGAUUUGAUAAGGAGAGGUGAACGAGAGGAUAUGGAGGAAGGAAGUAAGAUUGAGAUAGCGAGAGGGCGAAACACGGUGGGAGAAUGAAAAAUUGACAAAAAUAUCAGGAAAGAGAGGGAAGGAAAAUGUGAGACUAUAUAUUAUUAUCUGUGUAAAAGCUUCAUGAAGAAGAAAAGGAAGGAGAGAAUAUUCUAAACGAACGUAAGAAAAGCAGAGCCACCAUUUUACUGCAUCUCACGAGCAAAACAAACCUGCCUCAAUUGUGAGAGCUUCGACCAGCAACUGCUUUGCUUCCCAAUGGAGGAACAGCUUGUCAAUAGGAGUACAGUAGCGAGCUAUUUAACCAGUGAGCUUCAUGAAAACUAUCAUGGACACCUACACAUUUACAGAAUGUGUGUGAAGAUUCGAGCUACAUGAAAUGACUGGGUAAGAAAAGAAUGGCUGGAAAGAAGAGAUUUCUGUAUUGGGAAGUACACAAGAAACAUCCUCCCGGUACAAUUAGAAAACAUCUUGCUCCUGGUACGAAUUACGUUUCAUGAAACAGAUUCACGCAAAUUACUGAAGUUUGGAUAAGAUACCUGGAGAAAAAGGAUAACAGCCGAACUAAAUGCUCUGUGAUAUUAUAAUUACAUCACUGCUAUAUGAAACGAUACAAGCGCAUAAAACCUGAGACUGUCUCCUGUAAAACCUAAUACCAGGCUUCAUAUUUUGUAAUGGUUGCAAUAAAUGGGCGAAGAAAAGAGAAGUAACCGAAUGAAAUGCUAAAUAUUAAAACUGACCAACAGUAGCUUUCACUAUUUCAGUUGCAGAUUUUAUUUCAGACUUGAAAUGGUCAACGUGGACGCUCUUCAGACUAUUCGUGUGAUAAAUGUAAGAUCAAUCGUGCAAGAAUUGACUUAACCAUUCAACAAAUCUCAUAUUAUAUUUAUUUAAUUGUCUAUAAAUUUCCUAAGCAAAUUCAUCAUUUUGAAUGAAUUUUUCGCGAUUUUCAAAAUAAGCAAUUAACCAACUUAGAAAAUAUCAUUACUGAAGACGAAAAGAUUCCAUUUAUAAUGCAAUAUUUCCAUAAUCUUCUAUAAAAAAUGAAGUACAUUGUACAUCACAAAAAUAUAUUAUGAAAAAUAGAGGACUUUAUGAAGGCAUUCUGUCAAAACCAAAAUUUUAUGCAGAGCAAAAGAACUUUUCAAGUAAAAGUAAUGGUUUCUUUUUGACAAAACAUAAAACUUCUAAGUUGAUAUGUUGCGUUCAUGAUUUUCUCAAAGUGGCUAACAGCGUAUAGUAACUUAACGUUUAUUUUCUCACAUACGCACAGGGCUACAAUCUUCAAAGAAAAGAAUAAAGCUAAUUGAACCGACCUGCUACGUGACUGGUACGUAUCUUACUGAGCCCGGAUGGAUGAAAGACCUCAGCAGAAUUUGAGCUCAGAAUGUAGAGGCUGAUUUAAAGUUUGGUCUACUGUUUUUAUUCCAUCUCAUUUCCUUGUAGGAAUAUUAAUGCAUAUAACAUUAAAAGACAGCAAGCUCUACCAUAUUGUUCUUACAUCUCAAAUUGUAACUCUUCCUGAUUGUGACGUUUCCAUCCUUACAAAGCCUUUGAGAAUUUGAGCCAGCAUGUUAAAUAAAGAUACUUCUUUUAAUCCAG